GACAGCUUGCCGAGUGGUUAAGGCGAUGGACUUGAAAUCCAUUGGGGUAACCUGCGUGAGUUCAAAUCUCACAGCUGUCG
rnacentral:tRNA from 1 species